rnacentral:rRNA from 1 species
UACGUAGGGUGCGAGCGUUGUCCGGAAUUAUUGGGCGUAAAGAGCUCGUAGGCGGUUUGUCGCGUCUGCUGUGAAAUCCCGAGGCUCAACUUCGGGUCUGCAGUGGGUACGGGCAGGCUAGAGUGCGGUAGGGGAGAAUGGAACUCCUGGUGUAGCGGUGGAAUGCGCAGAUAUCAGGAAGAACACCGAUGGCGAAGGCAGUUCUCUGGGCCGUAACUGACGCUGAGGAGCGAAAGCGUGGGUAGCAAACAGG